ACGGGCUUGGCGGAAUCAGCGGGGAAAGAAGACCCUGUUGAGCUUGACUCUAGUCCGACUUUGUGAAGAGACAUGAGANGGUGUAGCAUAGGUGGGAGCGCCAGCGACCUUGAAAUACCACUACUUUUAUCGUUUCUUUACUUAUUCAGUCGAGCGGAGAGCGGGGCGCAAGCCCCUAGCUUCUGGAAUUAAGCUCCCGACCUUUGUCGCCGGGGGCGAUCCGCUCUGAAGACCGUGUCAGGCGGGGAGUUUGACUGGGGCGGUACAUCUGUCAAAAGGUAACGCAGGUGUCCUAAGGCGAGCUCAGCGAGGACGGAAACCUCGCGUAGAGUAAAAGGGCAAAAGCUCGCUUGAUUUUGAUUUUCAGUACGAAUACAGACCGUGAAAGCGUGGCCUAUCGAUCCUUUUGACUUUAGGAGUUUUAAGCAAGAGGUGUCAGAAAAGUUACCACAGGGAUA
rnacentral:rRNA from 1 species